rnacentral:rRNA from 1 species
UACGGGGGGGGCAAGCGUUGUUCGGAAUUACUGGGCGUAAAGGGCGCGUAGGCGGUUCGGUAAGUCAGCUGUGAAAACCAUGGGCUUAACUCAUGGCCUGCAGUUGAGACUGUCGGGCUGGAGUGUGGGAGAGGAGAGUGGAAUUCCUGGUGUAGCGGUGAAAUGCGUAGAUAUCAGGAGGAACACCGGUGGCGAAGGCGGCUCUCUGGACCACAACUGACGCUGAGGCGCGAAAGCUAGGGGAGCAAACAGG